UACGGAGGGUGCAAGCGUUGUUCGGAAUUAUUGGGCGUAAAGGGCAGGUAGGUUGUCUUGUAAGUCUACUGUGAAAUCCCUGGGCUUAACCCAGGAAGUGCGGUGGAUACUGCAGGACUAGAGUGCUGGAGGGGUGCGUGGAAUUCCCGGUGUAGCGGUGAAUGCGUAGAUAUCGGGAGGAACACCGAUGGCGAAGGCAGGUCUCUGGGCAUUAACUGACGCUGAGGAGCGAAAGCAUGGGGAGCGAACGAGGAUUGAGAU
rnacentral:rRNA from 1 species